UACAGAGGUCUCAAGCGUUGUUCGGAUUCAUUGGGCGUAAAGGGUGCGUAGGCGGCGCGGUAAGUCGGGUGUGAAAUCUCGGAGCUUAACUCCGAAACUGCAUUCGAUACUGCCGUGCUUGAGGACUGGAGAGGAGACUGGAAUUUACGGUGUAGCUGGUGAAAUGCGUAGAUAUCGUAAGGAAGACCAGUGGCGAAGGCGGGUCUCUGGACAGUUCCUGACGCUGAGGCGCGAAAGCCAGGGGAGCGAACGGG
rnacentral:rRNA from 1 species